rnacentral:rRNA from 1 species
UGGGGAAUAUUGGACAAUGGGCGAAAGCCUGAUCCAGCCAUGCCGCGUGUGUGAAGAAGGUCUUCGGAUUGUAAAGCACUUUAAGUUGGGAGGAAGGGCAGUAAGCGAAUACCUUGCUGUUUUGACGUUACCGACAGAAUAAGCACCGGCUAACUCUGUGCCAGCAGCCGCGGUAAUACAGAGGGUGCAAGCGUUAAUCGGAAUUACUGGGCGUAAAGCGCGCGUAGGUGGUUCGUUAAGUUGAAUGUGAAAGCCCCGGGCUCAACCUGGGAACUGCAUCCAAAACUGGCGAGCUAGAGUAGGGCAGAGGGUGGUGGAAUUUCCUGUGUAGCGGUGAAAUGCGUAGAUAUAGGAAGGAACACCAGUGGCGAAGGCGACCAUCUGGGCUCAUACUGACACUGAGGUGCGAAAGCGUGGGGAGCAAACAGG